rnacentral:lncRNA from 1 species
UACAUCUUAAAAUAAAGUUGAGAAAUGGUAUACAGACUUCAUAUAUUAUUUUUGCAAUGUAGCUACACUAAAUUAUAAAUUAUAAAGUCAAUAUAUUUAAACAAUGCAAACUUUAAUUUAGUCUAAAAACAAUAAUGUCUAGGGGUUCCCUUAAAUAAAAAAUUUAUAAAGUCAAUAUUGUAAUUGCAUGUAAAGAUGUUAAUGUGGUGACAUGUAAGGGUCCUAAAACUAUUUCUGAAAAAAAUAAAAAUAAAGCUUCAAUACUAAAUUGUUGGAUAAAACAAUAUUCACCUCAAAAAAGAAAAAAAAGGACUAAAACAAUGUACUCCCUCCGUCCUCGUAAAAUGUAUCCAAUUUAUCAUUUUCAUCCGUCAUUAUAAAAUAUAUAUAAUCUAUUUUUGAUAAGUUGUCCACUCACAAUAAAAUAGGACUCUUACUCCACUCACAAC